CCCUUAGAUGUUCUGGGCCGCACGCGCGCUACACUGACGAAUGCAACGAGCUUAUAACCUUGGCCGAAAGGUCUGGGUAAUCUCCAAAUUUCGUCGUGAUGGGGAUAGAUUAUUGCAAUUAUUAAUCUUCAACGAGGAAUGCCUAGUAAGCGCAAGUCAUCAGCUUGCGUUGAUUACGUCCCUGCCCUUUGUACACACCGCCCGUCGCUCCUACCGAUUGAAUGGUCCGGUGAAGCGUUCGGACCGUAGCCUUUGGACGGUUCGCCGUCUGUUGGCUGCGGGAAGUUCGUUAAACCUUAUCAUUUAGAGGAAGGAGAANUCGUANCA
rnacentral:rRNA from 1 species